rnacentral:lncRNA from 1 species
UGCAUCUGUCAGCCUCACAGGGUAAUUUCAUGGGGGUUUUUUUGUCCAAACAGUAUGUUUUGGAUAACCUAAUGGGGUGGUAUUCAUUUUUUCUAGACGUCGCACUGUGCCACUUUCGUUUCUCCUGAGGAAACAUCACGACACGCUUCGAAAAAACUCUGCCGAGAGUCAGCAGAAGGUGCUUGUGACUAAUAACUCAUCCUUCUUUCUUGACUGAACCUGGAUCCCUUGCCCUCCUCGUUGACGUCUGCGGUGCUCCAUGUCAGGCUGAGAAAUGCAGCUCCUCCGGAGUUGGGAGAUGGUAGAGCGUGAAAUAUCUCGCUGCAUCAAAGGCAAAUGCUGCUCCGAAUGUUUGGAGGUGGGUAAUAAGCCCAGGAACGAGGAAGCAAUAAUUGCAGGCGCUGAUACGGUAUCCAGAGCUGCAACAGCCACUCCCACGGGGGGUUCCCUGAAGCUUUGGUGGGAUCCCUGAAAUGAGAAGACUUGAACAGUCACCCCUUGACCAAGCUGUGGGGAAGGUGGUCAUCUCAGGAGGUCUCCUUCUCUCCCACUCUUGCACCAAGACUUGAGCUCUCCUGUCCUGUUGUCUCAGAUGUUUGGUGCUGACUUUCCAUGCGAGUCCUUCAGGUAGUCUCUAGUCUUGAGUUUUGUAGUGGGUAAUUACAUUUCUUUGCCUUAGCAAGGUUUCUGGCAGGUGUUCCCUCUACUGGUGUCCUGUCUGCUCUUAAUGGUGCUUCUCUUUACCUGCAAACCACUAGUGCCACCACAAUCCAAACAAUAAUAAAGAGGAUGUUCCUCCCUGCUAAAUUGCA